rnacentral:lncRNA from 1 species
AACCAUGACUGUAUGUGUUCACAAUACGUUUAUGGAGCCUGCACCUGGAGACUUGCAAGAUGAUGUGAUGGAAUCCUGACCGACAGACAGGCUUGAUACUGACUUCGCUGAAUGGAGAGACACCUGGCACUCAACACAUCCACAAUGUGGUUCUGAAGAUGAAGAGUACUAAAGAUGCUUUUGCCAGACGCCAGCCUCGGUCGUUUGAUAGAGGGACCAUAAUUGGAAACAUGUAUAGAGACAGCACAUGGAAACUUGCAAGAUGUGAUGAAGUCCAGACUGACAGACGGGCUUAAUACUGAUGCCUCCAAAUGGAGAGAGACCUGACACGGCAUUAAAGUUUUACUACACACAACUUGUACUUCUAUUGUU